rnacentral:rRNA from 1 species
UGGGGAAUAUUGGACAAUGGAGGAUACUCUGAUCCAGCAAUUCUGUGUGUGUGAAGAAGGUUUUAGGACUGUAAAACACUUUUAGUAGGGAAGAAAAAAAUGACGGUACCUACAGAAGAAGCAACGGCUAAAUACGUGCCAGCAGCCGCGGUAAUACGUAUGUUGCGAGCGUUAUCCGGAAUUAUUGGGCGUAAAGGGCUUGUAGGCGGUUGGCCGCGUCUGCCGUGAAAUCCUCUGGCUUAACUGGGGGCGUGCGGUGGGUACGGGUUGACUUGAGUGCGGUAGGGGAGACUGGAAUUCCUGGUGUAGCGGUGGAAUGCGCAGAUAUCAGGAGGAACACCGGUGGCGAAGGCGGGUCUCUGGGCCGUUACUGACGCUGAGGAGCGAAAGCGUGGGGAGCGAACAGG